UACGAGAGGCCCAAACGUUAUUCGGAAUUACUGGGCUUAAAGAGUUCGUAGGCGGCAUGAAAAGUAGGGUGUGAAAGCCCUCGGCUCAACCGAGGAAUUGCGCUCUAAACUGUCGUGCUAGAGGAAGCUAGAGGUGAGCGGAACUGAUGGUGGAGCGGUGAAAUGCGUUGAUAUCAUCAGGAACACCGGAGGCGAAGGCGGUUCUCUGGGCAUGUCCUGACGCUGAGGAGCGAAAGUGUGGGGAGCGAACAGG
rnacentral:rRNA from 1 species